GGCGGCAGGCUUAACACAUGCAAGUCGAACGCCCGUAGCAAUACGGGAGUGGCAGACGGGAGAGUAACACGUGGGAACGUGCCCUUUGGUUCGGAACAACCCAGGGAAACUUGGGCUAAAACCGGAUAAAUCCGUAAGGAGAAAGAUUUAUCGCCAAAGGAUCGGCCCGCGUCUGAUUAGCUAGUUGGUGAGGUAACGGCCCACCAAGGCGACGAUCAGUAGCUGGUCUGAGAGGAUGAUCAGCCUCAUUGGGACUGAGACACGGCCCAAACUCCUACGGGAGGCAGCAGUGGGGAAUCUUGGACAAUGGGCGCAAGCCUGAUCCAGCCAUGCCGCGUGGGUGAUGAAGGCCCUAGGGUUGUAAAGCCCUUUCGGCGGGGAAGAUAAUGACGGUACCCGCAGAAGAAGCCCCGGCUAACUUCGUGCCAGCAGCCGCGGUAAUACNAAGGGGGCUAGCGUUGCUCGGAAUCACUGGGCGUAAAGCGCACGUAGGCGGCUUGUUAAGUCGGGGGUGAAAUCCUGGAGCUCAACUCCAGAACUGCCUUCGAUACUGGCAAGCU
rnacentral:rRNA from 1 species